CUGCAGUGCACUUGUGAUCAUGCCACUGCUCUCCAGCCUGGGUGAUAGAGCAAGACCCUGUUUCAAAAAUAAAUAAAAGAGCUACAUACAGAGGUGAGGGUAGGGUUCAGGGAAACCACAAAGGGACAGUACAGUAAUUUGGGGCCAGCAACUGCCAUCAUGAUCUCUAGGCCUGAAGGGACAAAGGGAGGGGAAUGGUUAUCAGAAUUCAGAGAGGAUAGUUGGUGUGGAGAGAGUCAUCUGAUGGGAACUGUAGCCUUUGGUCAAAGGACACAAGAUCUGGUAGGGAGGGAGCCAGGGAAAUAAGUACUCUGGUCUCCUUUCAGUCUCCUGCUGCUGCACCCACUCCCACCCUCAACGGGCUUUGUUCUCCAACUUUCUGUAGACCUGGAAUAUGGGAGUGAGUGCUACCUAGUGCCACCUGAAGGUUAGGUUUUUAGAUUCAGACUGACAUAGCUGUUAUGGGGAAGUGGAUGAGAGAUUUUUUUGCCCCCUUCCUUGCAGUGUAGUUUCCCUAGGCCAUUAACAGUUUUUGGGGAGAAUUUUAUAUUUUAUUAAACAAGCUUUAUGGUAGAAACACUCAUAGGUACGGAAGUUGAGAAUAGUACUGUGAACUCCCAGGUACCUAUUACCCUGUUUCAACAAUUAAUUGACAUUUUUGCUAAUCUUGUUUCUUCUAUAUCCUAACCCUCUUUUUUUUUUGUCAGGAAUGUAUACAUAUAUAUACACACACACACAUAUAUAUGUGUAUAUUCCCGACAAAGUGAAUUUGUUAGGAACAUACGCAUAUUCCAGACAAAGUGAAUACAAGUGAAAUAAGUAUGCGUGUGUGCUUUCUUCCCUUUGUGUGUGUGUGUGUGUGUGUGUGUAUGUAUUUAAAACAAUCCAUCUAUAUCCUUGGUGGUAAUCAAUCUUUACAAGUGAAAUAAGUAGUAAAUAGUUUCUUGUCAUUGAUUCACACACAUCACUGUUGUUUCAUACCUCCUUUUCACAAAUCCUAGCCUAGGGUCUCUCUCAGGAUAGGCAUUAUCUUGUUUAUUGAAUGAAGAAGGAAACAGACUCAAGGUGAUCUGUCCAUAUAAGUGGUAUUUAGAUAUAUGGAAAUGUUUAUGGAAGACAAGCUAUAACAUUGUUUCUCUUUAGUUUGGAUCUUUUUUCUCUCAUAGGGAGAUGAAAGAUGCAUGUGUAUUUACCUUAUUUUCUUUUACUAGAAAAUAAGCUCCCAAAGGGUAGGGAUCUUUCCUUUGCUUUUGCCCACUGAUGUUUCUCAAAGACCUACAAUAGUGCUUGGCACAGAGUAGGUGCCCAGUAAAUGUAUUGAAUUGGGUGAUCCAAAAAAAAACAAAUGCCAUAAAGAAAAUGUCCCAGGCUGGACAUGGUGGCUUAUGUGUGUAACCCUAGUGCUUUGGAAUACCAAGGCAGGAGGAUCCCUUGAGCUUAGGAGUUUGACACUAGCCUGGAAAACAUAGUGAGACCUUGUCUCUACAAAAAAAUUAAAAAAGAAAAAUUAUCCAGGGGUAGUGUUGUACGCCUGUAGUCCCAGCUACUUGAGAGGUUGACGCAAGAGGAUUGCUUGAGCCUAGGAGUUCCAGAUUAUAGUGAGCUAUGAUUGCACCACUGCACUCCAGCCUUGGCAACAUAGUGAGACUUUGCAUUGAAAAGAGAGAGAAAAAAAGAAAAUGUCCUAGUAACUGAGCAUAGGGUAUGACUUUAGGAAUAUCUAUUUUUGUGCAGUAUAUAUUUAUUUGGUAUACAGUCUGAUCUCUGCUGUAAGGUUAGGAUAAUUGUGAGUGGGCUCCAGGAUGCCAUAAUUAGCAGUCGUACUCAGACACAAUUAGCCAUCUUGAUGCUCUGAAUUGUGUGUGUGUGUGUUAGGGAGUGUGAAAAAUAGGUAUAUUUGGAACUCAUAGUUUCCUUAGCCAAGAGUAGGUCUUCUGAGCCCUACUUA